rnacentral:rRNA from 1 species
UACAGAGGUCUCAAGCGUUGUUCGGAUUCAUUGGGCGUAAAGGGUGCGUAGGCGGCCCGGUAAGUCGGGUGUGAAAUCUUGGAGCUUAACUCCGAAACUGCAUUCGAUACUGCCGUGCUUGAGGACUGGAGAGGAGACUGGAAUUUACGGUGUAGCGGUGAAAUGCGUAGAUAUCGUAAGGAAGACCAGUGGCGAAGGCGGGUCUCUGGACAGUUCCUGACGCUGAGGCACGAAGGCGAGGGGAGCAAACAGG